AUGGCAGUCGCCGGCAACCUCCUCCCCCACAGCCCCGUCGUCGGCAACCUCCUUCACCGCGGCCCCGGCGUGCUCCAGUGCCCGCUCGCCGGUGCCGGCCUCUGCCUGCCCCCGCACGUGGACGUCGUCGAGUUCGCGGCAAGCAACAACAGCGGCAAGCAACAGCGGUGGCGGCAAGUAGCGGUUGUGGGCAGCAGUGGCCACGAGCAGCAGCAGACGGCAGCUGUGGCGGGCAGCAGCAUAGGGAGGCAAGCAGCGGCAGCAGACAACAUCAAAAGAGGGCACCAACAGCAGAGGCAGCGGUGGGAAACACCAACAAAGGGCGGCAACAAUAGCGACGUCGAGCCUCGACGUGGCAUCGGGCAGCAGCGUGGGCCAGCAGUGUGGCCGGCGGCCAUGGCCGUGCGACGGUGUGCUUCCGAGAAAGGAGAGUGGUGGAGAAGGUCGGUACAGAGGGGAAGAAGAAAAUGA
rnacentral:rRNA from 1 species